rnacentral:rRNA from 1 species
UACGGAAGGCAGCAGUGGGGAAUAUUGCACAAUGGGCGAAAGCCUGAUGCAGCUAUGCCGCGUGUAUGAAGAAGGCCUUAGGGUUGUAAAGUACUUUCAUCGGGGAGGAAAAAACAAAACUAAUAAUUUUAUUUCUUGACGUUACCCGAAAAAGAAGCACCGGCUAACUCCGUGCCAGCAGCCGCGGUAAUACGGAGGGUGCUAGCGUUAAUCAGAAUUACUGGGCGUAAAGAGCACGUAGGUGGUUUUUUUAAAGUCAGAUGUGAAAUCCCUGGGCUUAACCUGGAACUGCAUUUUGAAACUGAAAUACUAGAGUAUCGUAGAGGGAGGUAGAAUUCUAGGUGUAGCGGUGAAAUGCGUAGAUAUCUGGAGGAAUACCUGUGGCGAAAGCGGCCUCCUAAACGAAUACUGACACUGAGGUGCGAAAGCGUGGGGAGCAAACAGGGAUUAGACUACC